rnacentral:lncRNA from 1 species
CUCAAGGUGAGACUGGGAUGGACUGGGAGGGACUGGGAGGGACUGGGACAAACUGGGAGGGACUGGGACGGACUGGGAGUCACUGGGAUGGGACUGGGAUGGACUGGGAGUCGCUGGGAGUCACUGGGAGUGAGGACAUGGCACUGGGAGCACUGGGGAGAGGGAAUCUUCAGGGAGAGGGACGAGUUCGUGGUGAGGGUGGGACCCCCCGAAUCUCCCCAGCUGGCGCUGCAGACGGGCCGGGAGCCGCCGCCCAUCUGGCGGGUGCAGAAGGCGCUGCUGCAGAAAUUCACCCCCGAGAUCAAAGACGGGCAGCGGCAGUUCUGCGCCACCAGCAACUACCUGGGCUAUUUCGGGGACGCCAAGCACAGGUACCAGCGGCUCUACGUCAAGUUCCUGGAGAACGUCAACAAGAAGGAUUACGUGAGGGUCUGCUCCCGGAAACCCUGGCACCGCCCGCUGGCGCUCAGGUGGGCACACCUGGGCACCUGGGGGCACAUGGGGGUACCUGGGCACAGCUGGGGGCACCUGGGCACACCUGGGGCACCUGGGGGUACCUGGGCACACCUGGGCACCUGGGGGCAACUGGGGCACCUGGGGGCACCUGGGCACAGCUGGGCACAGCU